CACGGCGCACGGGUGCGUAACACGCGGGCAAUCUGCCCUUCGAUGGGGAAUAACUUCGGGAAACCGAAGCUAAUUCCGCAUAACAUUCCGAGGACUAUGGUUCUUGGAUUCAAAGCCGUAAGGCGUCGAAGGAGGAGCCCGCGCACGAUUAGCUAGUUGGUGAGGUAACGGCUCACCAAGGCUUUGAUCGUUAGCUGGUCUGAGAGGAUGGCCAGCCACACUGGAACUGAGACACGGUCCAGACUCCUACGGGAGGCAGCAGUGGGGAAUCUUGCACAAUGGGCGAAAGCCUGAUGCAGCGACGCCGCGUGGGGGAUGAAGCAUUUCGGUGUGUAAACCCCUUUCGACCGGGAAGAAUGCCUCGCAAGAGGAGUGACGGUACCGGUAUAAGAAGCCCCGGCUAACUACGUGCCACCAGCCGCGGUAAUACGUAGGGGGCCAGCGUUGUUCGGAAUUACUGGGCGUAAAGGGUUCGUAGGCGGUGCGGCAAGUUGGGAGUGAAAUCUCUGGGCUUAACCCAGAGACUGCUUUCAA
rnacentral:rRNA from 1 species